rnacentral:rRNA from 1 species
GACGGGGCCCGGCACAAGCGGUGGAGUACGUGGUUUAAUUCGAUGCAACGCGAAGAACCUUACCUGGUCUUGACAUCCCGGAGACCCUUAGGAAACUAGGGGGUGCUUCCAUCUGGAAGAAUCUGGAGACAGGUGCUGCAUGGCUGUCGUCAGCUCGUGUCGUGAGAUGUUGGGUUAAGUCCCGCAACGAGCGCAACCCUUGCCUUUAGUUGCCAGCAGUUCGGCUGGGCACUCUAAAGGGACUGCCGGUGUUAAACCGGAGGAAGGUGGGGAUGACGUCAAGUCCUCAUGGCCUUUAUGACCAGGGCUACACACGUACUACAAUGGCCGAUACAAAGGGCAGCGACACUGCGAGGUGAAGCCAAUCCCGUAAAAUCGGUCUCAGUCCGGAUUGGAGUCUGCAACUCGACUCCAUGAAGUUGGAAUCGCUAGUAAUCGUGGAUCAGCAUGCCACGGUGAAUACGUUCCCGGGCCUU